AUGAAGUUGGCGAUUGAAGAAUGGCGUUGGGUGUCAAAUGAUGCAACUGACACCCGUAGGAGAACAGAAGCCCGCACACAAAGCUGUGCAGAGGGAAAGCCAAACCUCGACAAAAGAACUGCUAGUGCAACACUUGCUUGUGCCGACCGGCGCCAGGAUGGCCUCGGUCCCCGCCGUCAUCCAUUGAAGUACCUCCCAAGGCAGCAGAAAGUCGUCUUGAACCAACGCAGUGGAGAAGAACCACUUGUCCGUGGUCUCGCCCGCCUUCUCGUUGGCCGAAGCGUUGUCCUUCCACUUGUCAGCGGUGGUGGCCUUGGAAACGCUCCAGCCACGACCUCGACCGCGGUCUCCCUCGACUCACACCAUCAGCGGCUCGCUUGGGUGGAGAAGGAAAGAAAGGGAGGGCUUGAGGAGCAAGAGCUUGCGACGAUGGCGGUUCCGACGGGGGAGGGAGAAGCAGUAGCGGAAUCUACGAGAGGAAAAGAGGAAGUGGGGAAAUGCCUCUCUCCCCCCUCUUUAUAUCCCAUCGGGAAACCCAGGCAACGGCUUUGGCAGGUCGACAACUGCCCCAUUUCCUUUGCGGUUUCCCACUACGCACGAUGUGGGCGCGGAGAUCCAGGCAUUAUCAUCAUGAUGCAACGGUCAAAGCGGAACCGACUGGCUAUCUCCCUAUCUUUACGACAGUGA
rnacentral:rRNA from 1 species